AUUGAACGCUGGCGGCAUGCUUUACACAUGCAAGUCGAACGGUAACAGGGUGCUUGCACCGCUGACGAGUGGCGAACGGGUGAGUAAUGCGUCGGAACGUGCCGAGUAGUGGGGGAUAACGCAUCGAAAGGUGUGCUAAUACCGCAUACGUACUGAGGUAGAAAGUGGGGGACCUUCGGGCCUCACGCUAUUCGAGCGGCCGACGUCUGAUUAGCUAGUUGGUGAGGUAAAGGCUCACCAAGGCGACGAUCAGUAGCGGGUCUGAGAGGAUGGUCCGCCACACUGGGACUGGGACACGGCCCAGACUCCUACGGGAGGCAGCAGUGGGGAAUUUUGGACAAUGGGCGCAAGCCUGAUCCGGCCAUGCCGCGUGUCUGAAGAAGGCCCUCGGAUUGUAAAGGACUUUUGUCCGGGAGCAAAUACCCAGUGCUAAUAACGCUGGGGGCUGAGAGUACCGGAAGAAUAAGCACCGGCUAACUACGUGCCAGCCGCCGCCGUAAGAC
rnacentral:rRNA from 1 species